rnacentral:tRNA from 1 species
GGAGCAGUAGCUCAGUUGGUUAGAGCGCCCGCCUGUCACGCGGGAGGUCGCGGGUUCGAGUCCCGUCUGUUCCGCCA